UCCGGUAAUAAUGCUGCAGGGGCAACACCCGUUCCCAUUCCGAAUACGGAAGUUAAGCUCUGCGAGGUCGAUGGUACUUAGCCCUUUGGGCUUGGGAGAGUAGAUAAUUACCGGUU
rnacentral:rRNA from 1 species